rnacentral:pre_miRNA from 1 species
GACAUACUCCCUCCGUCCGAAAAUACUUGUCAUCAAAAUGGACAAAAAGGAAUGUAUCUAGAACUAAAAUAUAUCUAGAUACAUCUUCUUUUAUCCAUUUUAAUGACAAGUAUUUCCGGACGGAGGGAGUACUUU